rnacentral:rRNA from 1 species
CUAGCAUAUCAAUAAGCGGAGGAAAAGAAACCAACAGGGAUUGCCCUAGUAACGGCGAGUGAAGCGGCAACAGCUCAAAUUUGAAAUCUGGCCCUAGCGGUCCGAGUUGUAAUUUGUAGAGGAUGCUUUUGGUGAGGUGCCUUCUGAGUUCCCUGGAACGGGACGCCAGAGAGGGUGAGAGCCCCGUACGGUCGGCCGCCAAACCUGUAUAUAGCUCCUUCGACGAGUCGAGUAGUUUGGGAAUGCUGCUCUAAAUGGGAGGUAAAUUUCUUCUAAAGCUAAAUACCGGCCAGAGACCGAUAGCGCACAAGUAGAGUGAUCGAAAGAUGAAAAGCACUUUGAAAAGAGGGUUAAAUAGCACGUGAAAUUGUUGAAAGGGAAGCGUUUGCGACCAGACUUUUUCCUGGCGGAUCAUCCGGUGCUCUCACCGGUGCACUUCGCCAGGUCUAGGCCAGCAUCGGUUUCCUUAGGGGGAUAAAGGCCUGGGGAACGUAGCUCUUUAGGGAGUGUUAUAGCCCCUGGCGCAAUGCCCUUCGGGGGACCGAGGAUCGCGCUCUGCAAGGAUGCUGGCGUAAUGGUCGUCAACGACCCGUCUUGAAACACGGACCAAGGAGUCGAACAUUUGUGCGAGUGUUUGGGUGUUAAACCCUCACGCGUAAUGAAAGUGAACGGAGGUGAGAGCCCUAGGGUGCAUCAUCGACCGAUCCUGAUGUCUUCGGAUGGAUUUGAGUAAGAGCAUAACUGUUCGGACCCGAAAGAUGGUGAACUAUGCGUGGAUAGGGUGAAGCCAGAGGAAACUCUGGUGGAGGCUCGCAGCGGUUCUGACGUGCAAAUCGAUCGUCAAAUCUGCGCAUGGGGGCGAAAGACUUAUCGAACCAUCCUGGG